rnacentral:lncRNA from 1 species
AACUCUGAGAGAGGAACUGUUGUUAUCCUCCAUUUCAUAGAUGACUCACAAAGAGUUUAAGUAGCCUGCCCCAAGUCACAGUGGGCUGCAAGCUUUCAAAAGGCAAUUCCAAGAGAAAAAUUCCCAGGACCGCCUUCCCUCCCUGGUAAGAGACUGCACCAAUGACUGCAUUAUUGGUUACUGAUGAUGUCACGCUAUUUGCAGCUCUUGCCAUCAGGUACAGACAGCCUCUCAAGAACACUGAAGUUAUCAUCUAAAAUUACCUGUGCUGAAUGAUGCUUCCAAAGAUCUCUGAGAAGAAUAAAAGCAGCAAGGAAAGGUGGGAGUAGGGUAAAGAUGAUUCUUUCUAGAGUCAAGGUGACUAAGCCCCAGUUCACAACAGCCAAUUUUCCAACUGAUUCUUGCCUUUUCCUAUAUGAGCUGGAUGAUUGCUCCAUCACAGAACCUUAAACUUACUUUGCUCAGGCUUCCUCAGCAUAAGGGGUUGGAAAAAAAGGCUUUGUCACAGUAGGGGACUUUCCACAUUUGCCAGAGAAGAUCAAAAUGAGACAAAGGAUGAGUAUAUGUAUGCCCCCUACCUUCUCACUCCUCUAUGGUUAUUUGAUUUUCUGCAGAUCUUAGAGCUCCAGAGAACUGAUUUUCUGACCAUUCACAAUGCCAGGACAUUUUAGUUACAGGUAAGUUGAUAAAUUCAUCCUCUUGCUCUAUGUCUGUGACGGGACUCAACAGUGACUGCAUGUCAACAUAUAAAGCUCAACAAGGAAUUUUAUGAACGUCAACAAGUCUCACAGCUUCUGCCCCCAAGAUUUUUCCUGACUCUGUCUACUGCCUUCUGACCUCAUUUCCCCUCCCUCCUCAUCAAACUUUCGGACGUUCAUCUUCUAGCUGGUCUUGUUCCUUUCUCAUCUUCCCUCCCUUCCCCUAAGACAUUAUCCAUACCACAGCUAAAGUUAAAAUGACAAAGCACGGGUCUGAUUAUGGCGUUCUCUUGCUCUGAAAACCUGAAGUCUCUUCAGUUGGCUACAGAAUAGUGUAAUCACUGUAAGUUGGCAUCUUUCCUGCUUCCCAGCCUCCUGUCCCACUUCUCUCCUUCUUGCUUCAGCCAUGUGUCACCGCUUACUUCUCCCCAAAAACUCCUAUGCACUUUCUCAACUCCCUGUAUUUUCCCACUGCCUGAGAAUAUCCUUCUCUAUCCCAUUUGCCUAUUGAGGCACUCACUAUCAGUAAAGGAAGACUAGGUAGUUCAGACAAAUCCUUCCUCAGGAAAUAAUGAGGAAAUCUGGGUGAAAUACAGAAAUAUUGUAUUAAAAGCAUCAACAACCCCUAAUAAGAUGAUGAAAAACUGCUAACCAAAGUGUGGGAGU